ACCCUCCAGAUUCUUCCCCCUUCAGAUCUAAAUAUUGGUCUGGGUGGCUAAAAAGGAGGAGAAGUAAACUGAAGCAGACUUGGAGUCUUUAGUGACGUACAAAUUCAUUUCAAACAUUA
rnacentral:snoRNA from 1 species